rnacentral:piRNA from 1 species
UCCUAUGACUGUUGCCCGGGCAACACUGGC